CGGACGUGGGCAACCUGCCCGCACUGGGGACAACAGCCGGAAACGGCUGCUAAUACCGCAUAUGCGCACAGCUUUGCAUGAAGCAGUGUGGAAAACUCCGGUGGUGCGGGAUGGGCCCGCGUCUGAUUAGCUGGUUGGCGGGGCAACGGCCCACCAAGGCGACGAUCAGUAGCUGGCCUGGAGAGGGUGGACGGCCACCAUUGGGACUGAGACACGGCCCAGACUCCUACGGAAGGCAGCAG
rnacentral:rRNA from 1 species